GUCCAGGUCGAACAUUGAAGCAGCAGGUCAUUGUGGUUCAAGUAGAUCUGCACGUCGCAGCCGCAGAUCUUGGUGUCGGUGGUGGUCAAUCGGAUUUCAUGUCUCCAUCGAAUGGUUUGCAGAACGGAGGGGUGGGAGGUGGUGGACUCAAUUAUAUAGAGCAUCGAGUUUCCAAAUUGGACACUCUUGCUGGUGUGGCCAUCCGCCAUCAAGCAUGGUGUUGAGGUACUUUUGUUUGUUUCCAAAUUUAUUAGGCAUUUUUCUUGUGAUUUUGGAGAGUCUUGUAAAUUUAUGGGGUUUUUAUUGACGUGUGUAUUGGUAAUUGCUCCACCAAAAUCUGCAAUUAGUGAAGUGUUACGUUAUUAUCAAGUCUCAUGCUCUUGCCAAUAAUCUUGAUGAUGAUUGUGAUUUUACAUAAUCAUAAAGAUGUGUAUUUUAUUAAUAUUUCUUUGGUACAAUUAAAUAUUUAAACUAUUUUUGUAACUUUCUAUCUCUAUUUUGAGUGAUUAUUAUUUAUAAAUUAUGUUCUAUUUUAA